GGGGUUGUGGCUUAGUGGUAGAGUGCUUGCCUGGCAUGUGUGAGGCCCUGAGUUCAAUCCUCAGCACCACA
rnacentral:tRNA from 1 species